rnacentral:rRNA from 1 species
UACGGAAGGGGCAAGCGUUGUUCGGAAUCAUUGGGCGUAAAGGGCGCGUAGGUGGUUCUGUAUGUCUACCGUGAAAGCGUACGGCUCAACCGUAUUUUGUCGGUGGAAACUGCAGGACUUGAGGCUGGGAGGGGCUGGUGGAAUUCCCUGUGUAGCGGUGAAAUGCGUAGAGAUGGGGGAGGACACUCGUGGCGAAGGCGGCCAGCUAGACCAGUUCUGACACUGAGGCGCGACAGCGUGGGGAGCAAACAGG